GCCCUUUCCCAUAUUCAAUCAUGUCUAGAAUCCAAACUCUUCAUUCCCUCCAAGUUCUUGUUAUUUUCUUGAAGUCACUUGUUUUCUUUUGCCACCCAUCUAAUUCAUUGUCAGUUGAGACAGAAGCACUUCUUGAAUUUAAAAAGCAGCUUGUUGACCCUUUGAAUGUCUUGGAAUCUUGGAAAUAUUCAAAAUCCCCUUGUAA
rnacentral:misc_RNA from 1 species